rnacentral:rRNA from 1 species
UGGGGAAUAUUGGACAAUGGGCGAAAGCCUUAUCCAGCCAUGCCGCUUGUGUGAAGAAGGUCUUCGGAUUGUAAAGCACUUUAAGUUGGGAGGUAGGGCAUUAAGCGAAUACCUUGCUGUUUUUACGUUACCGACAGAAUAAGCACCGGCUAACUCUGUGCCAGCAGCCGCGGUAUUACAGUCGGUGCAAGCGUUAAUCGGAAUUACUGGGCGUAAAGCGCGCGUAGGUUGUUCGUUAAGUUGAAUGUGAAAGCCCCGGGCUCAACCUGGGAACUGCAUCCAAAACUGGCGAGAUAGAGUAGGGCAGAGGGUGGUGGAAUUUCCUGUGUAGCGGUGAAAUGCGUAGAUAUAGGAAGGAACACCAGUGGAGAAGGCGACCACCUGGGCUCAAACUGACACUGAGGUGCGAAAGCGUGGGGAGCAAACAGG